rnacentral:rRNA from 1 species
CGUGCACUCCUGCGGGAGGCAGCAGUGGGGAAUAUUGGACAAUGGGCGCAAGCCUGAUCCAGCCAUGCCGCGUGAGUGAUGAAGGCCCUAGGGUUGUAAAGCUCUUUCACCGGUGAAGAUAAUGACAGUAACCGGAGAAGAAGCCCCGGCUAACUUCGUGCCAGCAGCCGCGGUAAUACGAAGGGGGCUAGCGUUGUUCGGAUUUACUGGGCGUAAAGCGCACGUAGGCGGACUAUUAAGUCAGGGGUGAAAUCCCGGGGCUCAACCCCGGAACUGCCUUUGAUACUGGUAGUCUUGAGUUCGAGAGAGGUGAGUGGAAUUCCGAGUGUAGAGGUGAAACUCGUAGAUAUUCGGAGGAACACCAGUGGCGAAGGCGGCUCACUGGCUCGAUACUGACGCUGAGGUGCGAAAGCGUGGGGAGCAAACAGGAUUAGAUACCCCAGUAGUCCCA